UAGUUACUGCCACCGGGUAGAAAUGCAGAGCAUUUGUUAAGUACAUCGUUAGGUCUUUGAAGAUGUACUGAGCAAGUGCUGUUUUUU
rnacentral:ncRNA from 1 species